GCAUCUUUAAGGUUGAUCACGGUUUGGUCCGACAGCACAGCAACAACAGCCCACCACUGCUCUACCAGCCGAUCAAACAUCUCACACACGGAGUUCCACCGUGUUUUACAUGACUUGAUAAGCCGGUGAGUUGCGAGGCCCAUUUGCUAGUGUUUUGCAGCGCUUUGGUGGCUUCAGUGCUGUGAUUAAAGUGGCUAACGAGGUUACUAGCCGCUGAUAUUACCCAAUAUAGAUACAGUGCAAAUCUAUCAUUUAUGACCAACUGGGGGGGGGUGCAAAGCAGGCAACGGAUACCCAGAGCACUUAGGUGGGACGUUUGGCAGCAAC